GGUGGCCGCGAACUGCCACUGCUGCAAAUAAAAAAGAAUGCAAAAAAAAGAAGUCACAACAGAAGUGACUGAUGCAACAAAAAAAGAAACCAAAGCUUGCUGCAAAUUAAAAAAGAAACUGCACUUUGGUUUCUUUUCUUUCUUUUUUUUUUGCACUGGUAACUUCCCUUGUGACUUCUUUUUUUUUUUUUUUUUUUUUUGCAUUCUCUUAUUUGCAGCAGUGGCUGUUCUUGGCUACC